AUUGAACGCUGGCGGCAGGCCUAACACAUGCAAGUCGAGCGGAGCGGCGGACGGGCGAGUAAUGCCUAGGAAUCUGUCUGGUAGUGGGGGAUAACGUCCGGCAACGGGCGGUAAUACCGAAUUCUAUCAGACGAGCGAAGGUGUGCUAAACUAGUUGGUGGGGUAAAGGCCUACUAAGGCGACGAUCCGUAACUGGGUUGAGAGGAUGAUCAGUCAAACUGGGACUGAGACACGUUCCAGACUCCUACGGGAGGCAGCAGUGGUGAAUAUGGGACAAUGUGCGAACGCCUGAUCCAGCCAUGCCGCGUGUGUGAAGAAGGUCUUCGGAUUGUAAAGCACUUUAAGUUGGGAGGCGUUACCAACAGAAUAAGCACCGGCUAACUUCGUGCCAGCAGCCGCGGUAAUAC
rnacentral:rRNA from 1 species